ensembl:lncRNA
AAAGAGAGAUGAGUGAUGUGCAGCCUGCAGAAAGCCAGAGGGGAGAGGAGAGCUGGUGGUUUUGCAAAAUCAAAGGCCAAAGGCCUUGUGGUCGCUUACUGUGGGAGACACCAAGCAGGAUACCUGUCGGCAGCUCAGGAGGCAGCCCGUCCUCCCGCACGCCAUCACAUCUCUGGGGAUGCUCUGCCCUUCCUCUCCGUGGAACCAGCUCCACCAUGUGGCUGCUUCGCUCAGUUAUGCGUGGGAUUUAUUUCAGAGGAUUCCAAUCCAUCUCCACAGAGUACAAAGUGUGACCACUAACUGGCAUACAGAGAAGAAAAUACUGGCCAAGAGCAUUAUAAAAUUCCUCUGAUCCUUUAUUAAAGGAUUGCUGCUAUCCACAGAGAACUGGGAGAGUCUUGUUUUCUAGGGUUUUAUCCAAGAUCCGCCUCUUCAGCUUCAGAGCCAGAACAUAACUUUAAUUGAACAGGAAACUCUGAGGAACUGAUGCAUGGCUCCUGGAUAGAGAAAUACUGUGAACCUGAAAUGCAUACUGCCAAAUCCUAUCUGAUUUUAUCCCAUCCAUCAGAUCCUUCUAAAGAUGAACGUUGCCAAGAUUAAACCAACAGAGUUUUCGUAUUUAGUUUACUAAGUGGUAAACACAGCUGGUUCAGAUACUAAUAGUAGAAUCAAAAGUAGCUGAUUAGUGCCUUCUAAUGAGUUAUAACAAAAAAUUAAAAAGGAAAAAAAAAAGGAAAAUGAAUACUGUGCUAGUAAAACAAGUCUAGCAUCAGUGUCUGAAAGGGAUGAGUACAUUGUGCGAGAUGGGAAUCCUGUAAUGAGGAGCGAACCAAAGGUUUGAUAUCUCUGUCAACUGUAACAAGUUUCCAGUCCCUAUGAAAACAAAUACAAGGAAACAAAGUUAACUAAAUUAGCUAUUCUCUCAAAAUAGAUUUUUUCAGGUUUUAGACCUACUUUGUGCAGACCAGCCUUUUGCAUUCCUGCUGGCUAAAAAGCAGAAUUCCUCGUUAGUAUGUGUUGACUCAUUCUCUCAUUCAUGGAAUAUUAUGCUGUAUUUCCAAACAACAAAGUUUACAAGCAAAGACAUGCAGCAUGUAAAUAAAUAAAUAAAUAAAAUCCACUGCAUCUCAAUCAAACAAAAGCUUAGAACUAGUAAAGAAUGAGAAGUUCUAGCACUGAAAUAAUUUUCUCCUUGCAGCCAAACAUCCAAGGCAUAUUGACAAACAGAACACACAACCUACUUACCUGGAUAUAUACACAUCUGCUCCAGAACACUAACAUUAGAAAUUCCCUAAGAAGCAAUGAGAAUUUAAGUACCAAAGACAGAGACUUCAGAAUACUACGUUAUUAGAAAAAUCAGAUACACCACCUGGCUUAUUUCCAGGGUUUGCUUUUCUGUGGUUUCUUCAGAGUGGUAUCUAAACACAAUCUAAAAUUGAGUCUGAAAUGGAAACAGCGAUCAAAAUUCAUUGCUGGAAAGUGGAAGAAAAGAGAUUUCCAGAAAAUGUCUGGAGAAAGAAGGAGAUGGAGAAGAAAUUCUAAGUUAAGAGCAGGUAAAAAUCUGUUACAAAGAGAAAAAGAAAAAUCUUUUCGCUGUGGCCAUGGUGAACAGGACUAAAACUUUGGGCUUUGGAUGCAAAGGGAAGGACCCAGGUUAUGGAUUAGGAGCAAAUUUCUGAAAGUGGAAAUUUUUAACCACAGAACUUGCUUGAUCAAGUUUUGGAAGAGAGAGUCCACCUCGAGAGGUCCUGAAGCACAAACUGAACAAAGAAGCAAUAUAUACACGGCUGGUUCUACACGGGGGCAGAAAGGGUAAAUGAGCUCUGAAUAAACUCUCGGAGUCCACUUCAGACUUUUAUUCUUUUAAUGUCAUUUGAAUAUAUCUAUAUUCCUCAAAAGCUCAGAAUACAAGUGCCAAACAGACGAAUCGUUCUUUGCUCGAAUGAGCAUCUGAAAAGAGGUAGCCAAAACAAUGUGCCAUCAGUGGUUCUUUCAUUCCCUGGAGACACAGUGUAGUACUGGAAGCUUCAAGACUCCAAAAAUAUCAAUUCAGGCUCAUUCUGUUCUAUUGAGCUGAGAAAGCAAUAAUAGUAAGGUCAAUUGCCUUUGUUGCAACAGUAUGUAUAUGGUAAGUGACACAGGAUUGUUUCAAUUCUAAAUACUUAAAGUUAAUAAUUCAAAUCUACAACACAAAAAUACAAGUAUUUCCAUCUUCCCCUCUGCUCUUCAUGCUAAUCCUAAUUUCUGCAUUCAUGGGGAGCUAUUACUUUGUCCAAGGAGUCUUUACCAUGCCCUGCUUCGUCCUUGCUUUCUUCAUCCACCACCUCCCCUUGAUCUACCAUAUUACUAUCAAAAUCUCCUUGCCAUCAUUGAUGUCCUUCCCUCUUUCUAAUACCACUCUUAUUUCUGAAAGUGUCACGCUAUAUAUUAGAAAUAUUUACUGUUGUCCACUACUCCAGAUGGUCAUAACGUCAUUCACAAAGCCUGCCCUGCAUAUGUCCUCCAGUUUCCUUCUGACUGAUCUGCCUUCUAUCCAUUCUCAAAACUGCAGCGUGAGUAUAGCUCCAUUUAAUCUUCCACACAAAGCUGUCCUUGCUAGAGAACCUUUAAUAAGAAAAUCAGCUUCAGGCAAGUUCCUAGUUCUUGUGUCUAUAGGGAAAUUCUGAAAAUGUAUCCAGAGUACAUACUCCAACCAAAACAGGACAAACAAAAGGGGCCUCCUACUUCUAAAUAAUAUAUGCCUUAUGGUGGGUUGACUUUGUCUGGGUAUGAGAUGCCUACCAAACUGCUCUCAUGUUGUACACCCUCCCCCCAGCCUUCUUAGGAAGACACAGGGGGAGAAAAUAUGACCAAAAAAAGUUAUACUCAAGUCUAGCUACAAAAGACAAUUGGUAGUAGCAGCUGCUUUCAGUAGUCCCAGCUUUAGUCUAAGAAAGGAUUUAUGAGUUGUGGUGUCUGCCUUCAUUGUGGACAAUCUCUAGCAUCAGUGUAAGAAUAUUUUAAGCUUAGAGCAGGUAAAAACAGACUAAAGAAAUUGUGUUUUUACCAGUUCUAAAGCGUGAAAAAGAAAAUGAAAUUUUAAAAAACAUAAGCUUGGCUAAAAAAUCAUAAGGUUAUUGAAGUAAGAGUCUCAUUUUAACAAAAGAUUCAUCUAGUAAGACUACUUAAUUAUCUGGUGCUCCCAACUUUUCCACUAAUAAAAACUGUAAUGAUUUACUUUUGCAGCUGUUCACAUCAACUUUGUCCCAGCCUAAUACUUCUCUUCCUGUCCUGUUCACCUUUAUUCUCAACAUUGUAUCUACCCCUUCAGGCCAAAUUGCUCUCCCCUCUCAAUUUUUAAGAAAAAUACUAAUGAGUACAUGAAUGAGUGCAGUCUGAUAGAUUUACGAAUGUGCCUAUACCAUAGGAUUUGCACAGGUUAGUAGAAAAUCAGAGUUCACAACCCUCUACUUGUGUGUCCCUGUAGAAAACCUAAACUCCUCACUCUCCUUUUUGUCAUACACAGAGCAGACACAAGGAGCCACAACUCACACUGCCUUCCUUCUUUAGCAGAACUGCCUGCCUUCUCACCCUUGCCAAGUGGGUUCUGGGAGCAGACAUCCAAAUAAAGAGCAUUAUCUUUCAGACCCAGCAGGACUGAAAACUUCUGAGGGCUGGAACUUCGUGGACACAUAGAAAAAGUCAGGGCUGACAGCAGUGAAGUCCCUGUUUUUUCUCUCAGUUGUAAACUGCAUGUGUAUGUGCAAUAUGUACCUUCAAAGGUGGAUGAGAAAGGGCCAAAGCAGUUCUGCUAAUAUAUUUUGAAGUUGUACGGAUAGGUAUAAAGGUCAGUGCUGGAAAGGAUAAGGAUGCCUGUGUUCUGCCCAUGUAAGAUACACAAUCA